CCUCCGGGAUGCAGCAGUGGGGGAUAUUGCACAAUGGGGGAAACCCUGCUGCAGCCACGCCGCGUGUGGGACGAAGGUUUUCGGAUUGUAAACCCCUGUUCUUGGUGAAGAUAAUGACGGUAACCAAGGAGAAAGCCCCGGCUAACUACGUGCCAGCAGCCGCGGUACUCCGUAGGGAGCACGCGUUGUCCGGAUUUACUGGUGGUAACGGGUGCGUAGGCGGUAUUGCAAGUCAGACGUGAAAACCAAAGGCUCAACCUGUGGACUGCGUUUGAAACUGUGGGGCUUGAGUGAAGGAGAGGUAGGCGGAAUUCCCGGUGUAGCGGUGAAAUGCGUAGAGAUCGGGAGGAACACCAGUGGCGAAGGCGGCCUACUGGGCUUUAACUGACGCUGAGGCACGAAAGCAUGGGUAGCAAACAGGAUUAGAUACCCCGGUAGUC
rnacentral:rRNA from 1 species